AAAUUGAAGAGUUUGAUCAUGGCUCAGAUUGAACGCUGGCGGCAGGCCUAACACAUGCAAGUCGAACGGUAACAGGAAUCAGCUUGCUGAUUCGCUGACGAGUGGCGGACGGGUGAGUAAUGUCUGGGAAACUGCCUGAUGGAGGGGGAUAACUACUGGAAACGGUAGCUAAUACCGCAUAAUGUCGCAAGACCAAAGAGGGGGACCUUAGGGCCUCUUG
rnacentral:rRNA from 1 species